CCACAACAAAGAUGACUGAUGAACUCAAUGGCAACCAGCAGCCACGACAAAGAUGACUGACGAACUCAAUGGCAACCAGUAGACACCCAUUUGUAGCCUUAUCGGGGACAACAACAACUAGGUGGAACGCUCCUUCUACUAUCAAGUCAAUAACCUCUCUGAAUAUUAUUGGCAAGUUGAAUCUCUAUGUUUACUGGGUAUUGUGAUGAUUUUUCACCAGAAAACAACUACCACAAACAACCUUCAUCACUGGAGAAAUCUAGAACGAAGAGGCCCUAACCUUUUUCAUAGAUGAUCUCUAGUAGUGAGAUUCCCUAACUGAUUUGCCGUAUUGGGAACUCC
rnacentral:lncRNA from 1 species